GGACAGGUGGCAGAGUGGUCGAAUGCACCGGUCUUGAAAACCGGCGAGGGUGCAAGCUCUCCGUGGGUUCGAAUCCCACCCUGUCCGCCA
rnacentral:tRNA from 2 species